UGGGUCAUUUUUGGGACCAGCUCGUUGAU
rnacentral:piRNA from 1 species